rnacentral:rRNA from 1 species
AUUGCGGCAGCUACCAUGCAAGUCGAGCGGUAACAUGAACUAGCUUGCUAGUUUGAUGACGAGCGGCGGACGGGUGAGUAAUACUUAGGAACUUGCCUCUUGGAGGGGGACAACAGUUGGAAACGACUGCUAAUACCGCAUGAUGUCGCAAGACCAAAGGGGGCUUCGGCUCCUGCCAAGAGAGAGGCCUAAGUGAGAUUAGCUAGUUGGUGGGGUAAAGGCUCACCAAGGCGACGAUCUCUAACUGUUCUGAGAGGAAGAUCAGCCACACUGGGACUGAGACACGGCCCAGACUCCUACGGGAGGCAGCAGUGGGGAAUAUUGGACAAUGGGGGCAACCCUGAUCCAGCCAUGCCGCGUGUGUGAAGAAGGCCUUCGGGUUGUAAAGCACUUUCAGUGGUGAGGAAAGGGUAACGGUUAAUACCCGUUAUCUGUGACGUUAGCCACAGAAGAAGCACCGGCUAACUCCGUGCCAGCAGCCGCGGUAAUACGGAGGGUGCGAGCGUUAAUCGGAAUUACUGGGCGUAAAGCGCACGCAUGCGGAUUGUUAAGCUAGAUGUGAAAGCCCCGGGCUUAACCUGGGAAUUGCAUUUAGAACUGGCAGUCUAGAGUCUUGGAGAGGGGAGUGGAAAUUCCAGUGUAGCGGGUGAAAUGCGUAGAGAUCUGGAGGAGCAUCAGUGGCGAAAGGCGGCUCCCUGGGCCAAAGACUGACGCUCAUGUGCGAAAGCGUGGGUAGCGAACAGGAUUAGAUACCCUGGUAGUCCACGCCGUAAACGAUGUCUACUAGCUGUCUGGUGGCUUUAAGUCGUGGGGUAGCCGCAGCAAACGCGCUAAGUAGACCGCCCUGGGGGGAGUACGGCCGCAAGGUUAAAACUCAGAUGAAUUGACGGGGGCCGCCACAAGCGUGGGAGGCAUGGUGGAUUAAAUUUCGAUGCACCGCCGAAGAACCUACCUACCUCUGACAUCCACAGAACCUGGUAGAGAAUACUGGGUGCCUCAGACCUGUGAGAACAGAGUGUACAUGCAAUGCAUGAUACGUCAGCUCAAGGUCCUGGCACAUGUUGAGUCAUGGUUCCGCCAAC